rnacentral:misc_RNA from 1 species
CAAGCUCCCUUGCUAUUCGACCAAAUUAUGAUCUCUCUGGACACUUCUCCUUAAAACCCAUCAAUUCCACCAUCUUCACCCACAACAGCGGUGGUGUAAACGGUGUUCGUAUGGUCAAACUCUUUAGACCCGGGACUGAGUUUGAAAAAGGCCGCGUUAUCGGCGAACAUCCCAUCAAACCCCCCCUCUUCACCAACAAGAAAAGUGGUGCAAAUGAUGUUGGGAUGGUCAGAACCGCGAAUGGGUUUGGAAAAGCCCACGCUAUCGGCGAACAGCAUUUACAGCCCAUCAAACCCACCGUCUUCAACAACAAGAACGAUCAUGCAAAAG